UCUUUAAGAUAGCUCAGUUGGUUAGAGAGUGGCGCUGAUAAUGCCAAGGUUGCAGGUUCAAUUUGCAUAAGAGAC